UGACAAACUGGUACUAGCACCUGCCUCA
rnacentral:piRNA from 1 species